AUGAUAAAAGUUGAAAUAUUGUCUUUGUUCGUUGUUCUUCACUUUCUUGUCAUAUCAGGUUUAUUCAUAUUUCACACCCCGUGUUUGUAAAUGAUGGACACACACUUUUUUACUUGAAUUGAUUAGAAGAAGUUGUUUGUAAUUAGUCGUUUUCUUCUUUCUCAUUACAUAAUGUUUAUAUAUUUAAUUAAUUAUUUAUUUAUUUUAUUAUUAUUAUUAUUAUUAUUUUUUAAAUGGUCUCUCACAGAAAACUGGUUAGAAUGCAGGUGGUGAGAAUGAUGGUGGCUUGGUGGAUGCAAAACAUGAUUGCAUCCAUUAUUAUUUUCAAAGUUCAUGCAGCACACAAGGAAUUAAAGCGUGCGGAGAGUGCCUUCAAUACACAAAUCGUUUGACUGGGGUCUUUUGCAGCGCAAUGGUAACAGAAAAAUAUUAUUGUAUUUGUACAUAUAAAUGCAACGAUAUACCAGGAGGACCAUGUCGUUGUUAAUUUCGUCUGUGUUGCUAUUGAUUGUGCAUUGAGGAAGUAAUAAUAUUCUGG
rnacentral:lncRNA from 1 species